rnacentral:rRNA from 1 species
GACGAACGCUGGCGGCGUGCUUAACACAUGCAAGUCGAACGGUGAAGCGCCUUCCUUUUUGGUGGGUGUGGAUGAGUGGCGAACGGGUGAGUAACACGUGAGUAACCUGCCCCCUUCUUCUGGAUAACCGCAUGAAAGUGUGGCUAAUACGGGAUAUUCUGGUUCUGUCGCAUGAUGGGUCUGGGAAAGAUAUUGUUUCGGUGGGGGAUGGGCUCGCGGCCUAUCAGCUUGUUGGUGGGGUGAUGGCCUACCAAGGCGGUGACGGGUAGCCGGCCUGAGAGGGUGGACGGUCACACUGGGACUGAGACACGGCCGAGACUCCUACGGGAGGCAGCAGUGGGGAAUAUUGCACAAUGGGCGCAAGCCUGAUGCAGCGACGCCGCGUGAGGGAUGGAGGCCUUCGGGUUGUGAACCUCUUUCGCCAGUGAAGCAGGCCUGCCUCGUUUGUGGGUGGGUUGACGGUAGCUGGAUAAGAAGCGCCGGCUAACUACGUG